rnacentral:rRNA from 1 species
UGGAUUAGGCAUGCAAGUCGAACGAAUGUCAGUUGUGUAGCAAUACAGAGCUGGCGGAAGUGGCGAAAGGGGCAGUAAUGCGUGGGUAACCUACCCCGGGGACCGGGAUAGCCACCCUAACGGGUGGGUAAUACCGGGCGAUGUGGCUGGGCCGCAUGGUCUGGUCAUGAGAUGAAUUUCGCCUCGGGAGGGGCUCACGUGGUAUUAGCUUGUUGGCGGGGUAAUGGCCCACCAAGGCAAAGAUGCCUAGCAGGUGUGAGAGCACGACCUGCGCCACUGGCACUGAGACACUGGCCAGACUCCUACGGGAGGCUGCAGUCGAGGAUCUUCGGCAAUGGGCGCAAGCCUGACCGAGCGACGCCGCGUGUGCGAUGAAGGCCUUCGGGUUGUAAAGCAC